rnacentral:rRNA from 1 species
AACAUAUUCUAAAGAUUGUAUUUUAGAUGAAGCCUGCCCAGUGUAUUAAAUACUUAGAAAUAAACGGCCGCGGUACUUUGACCGUGCUAAGGUAGCGUAAUAAUUUGUCUUUUAAUUGGAGUCAGGAAUGAACGGCUUUAUGGGGAAAUGCUGUCUUUCUAAGAUUUUAUAGAAAUUACUGUAAAGGUGAAAAAGCCUUUUAACUUAAAUAGGACGAUAAGACCCUUUGAAUUUUUACAAUACAUUAAUAAUUUGUUUUAGUUGGGGCGGCUAAAAUGUGUCUAGCCAUUAUUAAUAAAAUUUACUACAAGAAAAUUUUAAUGAGAAAGAAUAAAUUACCAUAGGGAUAACAGCAUUAUUCAUAAGAGUUUGUGACCUCGAUGUUGGACUAGGAAAGAAUAUGGUUAGAAGUCAUAUUUAAUUGGUUCUGUUCGAACUAUAAUUCCUACGUGAUCU